GAAAGGCGUGGGCUCUGCAGAGACGGAGAGGGAGAUAGGCGUGGGAUGGCAGGGAAGGGUGAGGCUGCCAAAAAGGGGGGGUUAUGGUUGAUUUUUUCUCCUCAAAUCAAGGGUUGGUGUCGGUGAUUGAGAAAUUGAGAGGGAUGGGAGACAGACAGAAACACACCCAUUUGGCCUUCAUUUCCCUUUCUCAAACCCUAGCAGCAACAACACCAACUCUAGCCGAUCUCUGCAAUAGCGUCGGCUCCUGCUUCUGAAAACCAAAACCGCACAAACCUGGCCUCCAUUUCUGUAACUCGGAGCUUCCUCUCUCUGAGUCUAACUCCGAAUAUCAACAAGGUCUCUCAAUCGCUUAUAAUUUUGAAUUUUUGGAAUUUAUCUUGGAAUUUUGUCUUUGAUUCUCCUUUCUGUUUGUGCUUUUACAUUUUUGCAAGUCGGCGAGAAGCCGAGCAUAGCUCUUUCUAUAACCUCCGUUCUCUCCCAUGGCCAGCUGAAGCAGCUAAAGUUGAGUGUUUUAAUCGGUUGUAUAUGUCACCCAGUUUACCCGUUCCUACUGCUGCUCAACAGGGACAAGUUUCUCAGCAGGUGCUGUUUCAGAUUUUGUGUAUCUCAUUUUGGAAGUGAUUCAUAGGUGCUCUAUAAAGCCAUGGCCUCCGAAAGACGAUAUUCAUGUAUGAGCAAGAGGGGGUCGAGCUACUGACGAAUUAUAGUCAUAAUCUAGCUGAAUUUUAAAACCGCUUUUAGCUGAAAGGGCAUUCGAGAGAUGGGGUUUUCUCUGUCUUCCUCUUGGGUCAUUAAAGGACAUUUUUUUAGCAGACCCACUUCAAAUCGGAUAGAUAAAAGCUACCAACUCAUCUCUUGGAAGGUAACUUCUGGAGUUGUUAAUUUUUGUGAAAUAUUUGAUCUAGGUAAUUUUUUUUGGGUGAAAUUAGAUACUUAGUUUUUGAAAUAAUGCAAUACAAUACGAUUAAAGAAAGAAGAUUCUUAUAUGAUCCACCUUUGUUUCUUUUUUUUUCUUGGAAUAUUUUGUUGUUUUCAAAUUUCGCUUUGCAUCCUGUUUAUGUCCAUCAGUUGGCACUCCAUGGUAUAAAUUAACUCUAAAUCUUUGUUGCCAAAUGUUUUCCAUGUUUUUUUAAUUACAGAAAGUUUGCUGGGUUUAAUUGUUUUUAAUUUUACGAUUUAAUUGUUUUGCCCUAUUAUGAUCGAGUGGUAAAUUUAUCACACCGCACCACCAGUAGGUAAGCAAUUUAUCUUACUCUAGAUUUAAAAAUAAAAUAAAAAUAAAUAGGUAUGUGUAUUAAGGGCUUUUUUGGGGCCCUUUUUCUGAUUUUAGGGGUUUUGAAUUUGGUAUUCUGGGUUCUGUUUGGAUGCUCAUAAAGUAUGAGAGCAGCAUGUAUACUGAAUUUGGUGUUCUGGAUUUGUUGUGUUUGUUAGUGAAAUCAGAGUUUCCAUAACU